rnacentral:rRNA from 1 species
UGGGGAAUUUUGGACAAUGGGGGCAACCCUGAUCCAGCCAUUCCGCGUGAGUGAAGAAGGCCUUCGGGUUGUAAAGCUCUUUUGUCCGGAGCGAAACGGGCGGCCCUAAUACGGUCGUCUACUGACGGUACCGGAAGAAUAAGCACCGGCUAACUACGUGCCAGCAGCCGCGGUAAUACGUAGGGUGCGAGCGUUAAUCGGAAUUACUGGGCGUAAAGCGUGCGCAGGCGGUUUUGUAAGCCAGAUGUGA